GACGAACGCUGGCGGCGUGCCUAAUACAUGCAAGUAGAACGCUGAAGGCGGAGCUUGCUUCUCUGGAUGAGUUGCGAACGGGUGAGUAACGCGUAGGUAACCUGCCUGGUAGCGGGGGAUAACUAUUGGAAACGAUAGCUAAUACCGCAUAAUAGUAGAUGUUGCAUGACAUUUGCUUAAAAGGUGCAAUUGCAUCACUACCAGAUGGACCUGCGUUGUAUUAGAUAGUUGGUGGGGUAACGGCUCACCAAGGCGACGAUGGAUAGCCGGCCUGAGAGGGGGACCGGCAACAUUGGGACGGAGAUACGGCCCAGACUCCUACGGGAGGAAGAAGUGGGGAAUAUUGCACAAUGGGCGGAAGCCUGAUGCAGCAACGCCGCGUGCGGGAUAACGGCCGUCGGGUUGUAAACCGCUUUCGCCUGUGACGAAGCGUGAGUGACGGUAAUGGGUAAAGAAGCACCGGCUAACUACGUG
rnacentral:rRNA from 1 species